AAGCGAACGCUGGAAUUAAAGUAGUCGGCAAAACCCUCUACUAGGGUUUAACACAUCCGAAACACCAUACUUGAAAUUCACCGGCGAGAAAUGGCCACCAUGUUACGGCGUCUCCUUUCUCCGUCGGCGAUCGGAAACCUCCGUCAAUCUCAUACUCAAAUUCAGUCCACCCAUCCUUCUUACACCCCCCUUUCCCAAUUUCUCAUCAGAAGCAUCAUCCACUCUCAUCCAAAUCCCCGAAACAUGUGCUCUUCUUCUUCUUCUUCUAACUACGAUUAUUCCAUCGCCGCCGCAUUAAAUUCGGAUAAUCGCGUUCCCGCCACCAUCAUCACCGGCUUUCUCGGUUCCGGAAAGACAACUUUACUGAAUCAUAUACUCACGGCUCAGCAUGGAAAGCGAAUUGCGGUUAUCGAAAACGAGUUUGGGGAGGUGGAUAUUGAUGGUUGCUUGGUAGCAAGUCAUUCGUCUGCUAACGAGGAUAUUGUUAUGGUUAAUAAUGGUUGUUUAUGUUGUACUGUACGCGGUGAGUUAGUUACUAUGCUUUUGGAUUUGGUUAAAAAGAAGCGUGACAAAUUCGAUCAUAUUGUUAUUGAAACCACUGGCCUUGCAAAACCUGGUCCAGUCAUUGAAACAUUUUGCACUGAUGAGCAAAUUUCUCGUUAUGUGAAACUUGACGGUGUUGUUACUCUUGUGGACUCUAAGCAUGCUAUGCAACAUUUGAAUGAGGUGAAACCAAGAUUUGUGGUGAAUGAAGCGGUGGAACAAGUUGCAUAUGCAGAUCGUAUUAUUAUGAACAAAAUCGAUUUGGUAAGCAGUGCUGACUUAGAGGCUUUGAAAAAGAAAAUACAGCACAUAAAUGGAAUGGCACUGAUUAAGCAAGCUAAAUUUGGUCUUGUUGAUAUGGAUUUUGUGCUGGGAGUGGGUGGUUACGAUCUUGACAGAAUUGACUCUGAUGUUCCAGCAGAAGCUUCCCAUUGUGAAAACCACGAGCAUGAACAUGGACAUGGACAUGGACAUGAAUGCCACAAAGGGCAUCAACACGAUCACAAGCAUGAUUCUGCUGUAUCUAGUGUCAGCAUUGUUUCUGAAGGAAUGCUGGACCUUGACGAGCUUGAUGAUUGGCUUGAAAGGCUGGUUGAGGAAAAAGGGGACGAUCUAUACAGGAUGAAAGGGGUCCUGUCAGUGAGUGAUUCUGAGGCACGCUAUGUUUUUCAGGGGGUACAUUCCACUUUAGACGGCUGCCCAGGCAAACCAUGGGGGCAAGACGAGAAGAGAAUAAACAAACUUGUAUUCAUUGGAAAGAACUUGGAUGAAUCUGCUUUAAGAAAAGGCUUCAAAGGUUGUUUGGUGUGAUCCACCUUAGAAACUGGUAAUAAGAAAAGGAAUUGAAAAAGAAUGAGAGGGGGGAAAUGAAACGUAAAUGAUGGCGAUAUGUAGUCCUCCCAUUUUUUUAGUUUAUAUCUUUGUCGUGAAGAGUGGGGUCAGAUAUAGUGGAAUAUUCUGCUGCUCCCGUCUUUCCCGGCUUCAAUGAUACACAGCCACCGUGGCAUUUGCCUGACCUAGGAAGAUGGUGUUCCCAGACCAAGAUUUGACGACAAUAGUGGGUUAGCUAUUUGCGCUCCCUACAAACUCUUAUAGGAAGAAAGUUAGCUGGCAUUAAAUGGAAACCAGAAUUCUAUUCUUAACAUCAAGCAAACCAAAAUCGCUACCAAACUUUGCUACAUCAGUUGGAGAAGCGUCCUUGCUCCGUCAUUUUGUAUUGUUGCCGGCCUUACUAGACAAAAUCUUUUCUUUUUUGAUAUGUGCGGAUCGAAUAUCACAAUGUAGAGUUUAGACUAUGUUGCCUUUAGACAACAUCUACGUAUAAUUAUUACUCGUACUACGUAUUAUGUAGCAACAUAGUAACUACUUAUAUCUGAUAAUUUAUUUAACUCA